UACGAAGGGGGCUAGCGUUGCUCGGAAUCACUGGGCGUAAAGGGCGCGUAGGCGGCCACCGCAAGUCAGUUGUGAAAUCUCUGGGCUUAACCCAGAAAGGUCAACUGAUACUGCGGGGCUAGAGUGCAGAAGGGGCAACUGGAAUUCUCGGUGUAGCGGUGAAAUGCGUAGAUAUCGAGAGGAACACCUGCGGCGAAGGCGGGUUGCUGGGCUGACACUGACGCUGAAGCGCGAAAGCUAGGGGAGCGAACGGG
rnacentral:rRNA from 1 species